rnacentral:rRNA from 1 species
AUGGUGCACACCUCGAGCCCGUCGUUGUUGCUCGUGCUGCUCGUCGCGGUGGCGGUGGCGGCAGGAGCCAGAUUGCCCGUGGAUGCGGCCCGGAACGCAACGUUGGGCGAGCUCCGCGUCAAGAACGGCCUCGGCAGGACCCCGCAGAUGGGGUGGAACAGCUGGAACCACUUCUACUGCGGGAUCAGCGAGGGAGUCAUCAGGGAGACAGCUGAUGCAUUGAUCAACACUGGUUUGGCGAAAUUGGGCUACAAAUAUGUUAACAUCGAUGAUUGCUGGGCAGAAUUAAACAGGGAUUACCAGGGUAACAUGGUUCCAAAUAAAAGAACAUUCCCCUCUGGCAUCAAGGCGCUUGCAGAUUAUGUGCACGCGAAAGGGUUGAAGCUCGGCAUCUACAGUGAUGCUGGGACACAAACAUGCAGUAACAAAAUGCCAGGAUCACUGGAUCACGAAGAGCAAGAUGUCAAGACGUUUGCGUCUUGGGGAGUUGAUUAUCUGAAGUACGACAACUGCAACGAUGCUGGCAGGAACGUCAAGGAAAGAUACACUAGGAUGAGCAACGCCAUGAAGAAAUACGGGAAGAACAUCUUCUUCUCACUCUGCGAAUGGGGAGUCGAAAACCCUGCUACAUGGGCACGUGGCAUGGGUGGUAAUAGUUGGAGGACAACCGGCGACAUUGCUGACAACUGGGACAGCAUGACAUCACGCGCAGACCAGAAUGACAGAUGGGCCUCCUACGCUGGACCUGGUGGAUGGAACGAUCCUGAUAUGCUUGAAGUUGGAAAUGGCGGGAUGUCUGAAGCUGAGUACCGCUCGCACUUCAGCAUCUGGGCACUUGCAAAGGCUCCUCUUCUUCUUGGGUGCGACGUGCGCUCGAUGAGCCCGCAGACAAAGAACAUAAUCAGCAAUACGGAGGUCAUCGCUGUCAACCAAGAUAGACUUGGCGUGCAGGGAAAGAAGGUGCAAUCCGAUGGUGGUUUGGAGGUUUGGGCCGGACCACUCAGCGGCAACAGAAAGGUGGUGGUUCUAUGGAAUAGGCAGGGGCACCAAGCAACCAUCACCACACACUGGUCAAAAGUCGGGCUUCCGGUAUCCGCGGCUGUCACCGCUCGCGAUCUAUGGGCGCACUCGUCAUUCUCCGCUCAGGGGCAGCUAUCUGCAUCAGUGGCGCCUCAUGACUGCAAGAUGUACAUCCUGACACCAAAGUAA